rnacentral:rRNA from 1 species
AUUGAACGCUAGCGGGAGGCCUAACACAUGCAAGUCGAACGAGUGGCGGACGGGUGAGUAAUGUAUGGGAAACUGCCUAAUAGAGGGGGAUAACUACUGGAAACGGUGGCUAAUACCGCAUACCAUCAGAUCUGCCCAUAUGGGAUUAGCUAGUUGGUGGGGUAAAGGCUCACCAAGGCAACGAUCCCUAGCUGGUCUGAGAGGAUGACCAGCCACACUGGGACUGAGACACGGUCCAGACUCCUACGGGAGGCAGCAGUGGGGAAUAUUGGACAAUGGGGGAAACCCUGAUGCAGCCAUGCCGCGUGUAUGAUGAAGGCCUUCGGGUUGUAAAGUACUUUCGGCAGGGAGGCGGUAUCCGCAGAAGAAGCACCGGCUAACUCCGUGCCAGCAGCCGCGGUAAUAC